rnacentral:rRNA from 1 species
GUGGGGAAUAUUGGACAAUGGGCGCAAGCCUGAUCCAGCCAUGCCGCGUGAGUGAUGAAGGCCCUAGGGUUGUAAAGCUCUUUCACCGGUGAAGAUAAUGACGGUAACCGGAGAAGAAGCCCCGGCUAACUUCGUGCCAGCAGCCGCGGUAAUACGAAGGGGGCUAGCGUUGUUCGGAAUUACUGGGCGUAAAGCGCACGUAGGCGGAUUGGUCAGUUAGAGGUGAAAUCCCGAAGCUCAACUUCGGAACUGCCUUUAAUACUGCCAGUCUCGAGUCCGGAAGAGGUGAGUGGAACUCCUAGUGUAGAGGUGGAAUUCGUAGAUAUUAGGAAGAACACCAGUGGCGAAGGCGGCUCACUGGUCCGGUACUGACGCUGAGGUGCGAAAGCGUGGGGAGCAAACAGGAUUAGAAACCCGAGUAGUCC